AAAAGAUAAAGAAAACAAGAAUGUGUCCACAGUACACGGAUGCCCCACUCGCACUAUCAUUUUCUAUGUUUAAAGGACUGUGAAAUUGGAAUAAAUUCUCUAAUUUGGCAUUAAAAUUAGAAUGAUCUUAUCAAAGGGAACAUGUAUACUAAGUUUCAAGUUGAUUGGACUUCUACUUUAUCAAAAACUACCUUGACCAAAAACUUUAACCUGAAAUUUGCACUAUCAUUUUCUAUGUUCAGUGAACCGUAAAAUUGGGGUCAAAACUCUAAUUUGGCAUUUAAAUUAGAAAGAUCAUAUCAUAGGGCACAUGUAUACUAAGUUUCAAGUUGAUUGGACUUCAACUUCAUCAAAAACUACCUACUUACCUUGAAGCCAAAAACUUUAACCUGAAAUUUGCACUAUCAUUUUCUAUGUUCAGUGAACGUAAAAUUGGGG
rnacentral:lncRNA from 1 species